UCAACCAUUAAUAUCAAAAAUCUAAAAUUCUGACCAGAACUUCCGAAGUGUUAACUGUAAAUGACCGUUAACAGACAUUGGAAAAGAAUGCAGCUAUGAUUUCUAUUUUUUCUAUUUCAAGAUUUCUACGGCCAGAUGUUUCAUUCCAAUACCAUGGCUAGAUGUGAGGAUUUCUACGGCCAGAUGUUUCAUUCCAAUACCAUGGCUAGAUGUGAGGGUGCUCUAUUUUUGAAGACGACGAAGAGAGUGUUGGUUGGAAAGCAGGACGAGCGGUUUCUCGUUGCGAUGCAUGUUUUCGUGAAAAGAUUGGGAGUGAGGAAGUCGAUCAAGAAAUUGGUAGGAGUACAUCUUCUCGGGCGAGCAUACGUUCAUUUCGACUGUCCUCUUGUGAGAGCACCGAAGGCGAAGUAGAAUCGACCAAGGCCAUUAAAACAAUUGAAUAAAAAUUCUUGUAGUUAUGA